GACGAACGCUGGCGGCGUGCUUAACACAUGCAAGUCGAACGAAGCAUUUGCGACAGAUUUCUUCGGAUUGAAGUUGCUUAUGGCUGAGUGGCGGACGGGUGAGUAACGCGUGGGUAACCUGCCUCACACAGGGGGAUAGCAGUUGGAAACGGCUGAUAAUACCGCAUAAGCGCACAGUACCGCAUGGUACAGUGUGAAAAACUCCGGGGGUGUGAGAUGGACCCGCGUCUGAUUAGCUAGUUGGUGAGGUAACGGCGCACCAAGGCGACGAUCAGUAGCCGACCUGAGAGGGGGACAGGCCACAUUGGGACUGAGACCAGGGCCAGAGUCCUACGGUAGGCAGCAGUGGGGAAUAUUACACAAUGGAGGAAACUCUGGUGCAGCGACGCCGCGUGAGUGAAGAAGUAAUUCGUUAUGUAAAGCUCUAUCAGCAGGGAAGAUAGUGACGGUACCUGACUAAGAAGCUCCGGCUAAAUACGUGCCAGCAGCCGCGGUAA
rnacentral:rRNA from 1 species